AGUGAACGCUGGCGGUAGGCCUAACACAUGCAAGUCGAACGGCAGCACAGUAAGAGCUUGCUCUUACGGGUGGCGAGUGGCGGACGGGUGAGGAAUACAUCGGAAUCUACUUUUUCGUGGGGGAUAACGUAGGGAAACUUACGCUAAUACCGCACACGACCUACGGGUGAAAGCAGGGGAUCUUCGGACCUUGCGCGAUUGACUGAGCCGAUGUCGGAUUAGCUAGUUGGCGGGGUAAAGGCCCACCAAGGCGACGAUCCGUAGCUGGUCUGAGAGGAUGAUCAGCCACACUGGAACUGAGACACGGCCCAGACUCCUGCGGGAGGCAGCAGUGGGGAAUUUUGGACAAUGGGCGCAAGCCUGAUCCAGCCAUACCGCGUGGGUGAAGAAGGCCUUCGGGUUGUAAAGCCCUUUUGUUGGGAAAGAAAAGCAGCAGGUUAAUACCCCGCUGUUCUGACGGUACCCAAAGAAUAAGCACCGGCUAACUUCGUG
rnacentral:rRNA from 1 species